UACGUAGGGGGCAAGCGUUGUCCGGAAUCAUUGGGCGUAAAGAGCGUGUAGGCGGUCAGAUAAGUCUGCUGUGAAAUCUCGAGGCUCAACUUCGAGCUGUCGGUGGAAACUGUCUGGCUAGAGUCCGGAAGAGGAGAAUGGAAUUCCUGGUGUAGCGGUGAAAUGCGCAGAUAUCAGGAGGAACACCGGUGGCGAAGGCGGCUUGCUGGGCCUUACCUGACACUGAGGAGCGAAAGCGUGGGGAGCGAACAGG
rnacentral:rRNA from 1 species